AGAGUUUGAUCAUGGCUCAGAGCGAACGCUGGCGGCAGGCCUAACACAUGCAAGUCGAGCGCCGUAGCAAUACGGAGCGGCAGACGGGAGAGUAACACGUGGGAACGUGCCCUUCAGUUCGGAACAACCCAGGGAAACUUGGGCUAAUACCGGAUACGUCCGUAAGGAGAAAGAUUUAUCGCUGAAGGAUCGGCCCGCGUCUGAUUAGCUAGUUGGUGGGGUAACGGCCCACCAAGGCGACGAUCAGUAGCUGGUCUGAGAGGAUGAUCAGCCUCACUGGGACUGAGACACGGCCCAGACUCCUACGGGAGGCAGCAGUGGGGAAUAUUGGACAAUGGGCGCAAGCCUGAUCCAGCCAUGCCGCGUGGGUGAUGAAGGCCCUAGGGUUGUAAAGCCCUUUCGGCGGGGAAGAUAAUGACGGUACCCGCAGAAGAAGCCCCGGCUAACUUCGUGCCAGCCGCCGCGGUAAUAC
rnacentral:rRNA from 1 species